GGUGGCUCAGUUGGUAGAGUGCUUGCCUUGCAUGCAUGAGGCCCUGGGUUCGAUUCCUCAGCACCA
rnacentral:tRNA from 1 species